rnacentral:misc_RNA from 1 species
CACCGAUAACCCCAGGAAUUCUAGGUGAAUCAAGGAUGCCUUCUCCAAUAAUACUUCCAGCUCCAGAUGGUUUUGGUCGCUGAUGGAGCUGAUGAAGUAGCAGCAGUCCCAAUUCUAGUUGAACAAUCUGCGACCGAACCUGCAUCAUCUGAAAGUAGCUUACAUUUGCAACCACUGGAAAUUGAAGCUUGUAGUCGUCCCAUCAAAACAAAGAAAAAGAGGAUAGUUGUAGACGAAUAUACAAGGUUGGAGAGGCCUUCAGAAGAUCCAUUUGUUCAUACCAGGAGUAAGCAAGACUACGCUCCAAUAUACGUAGUCAUGGCUGCUGCAGAGCUUCUAACAACUCCAUCAAAGGGGCAAAACUUAGCCAAGUGUUUACUCCUCAAUUACCAAAUGAUGAUGGUUCAACCCACAAUGGACGAGAAUAUAGCACGACGAGAGAAAGAAAAAAAGAAGAUCAAAUUGCCAAAACCUAUGCAACCUAUAGUUCGCCACCCAGACACAAGUGGAGAAACAACAGGAGGUUUCACCUCGGAGCAUGAAAUUGUAACAAUUAUUUCACGACCGAAUGAUUCGGCAGUAGACCGAACAAAGACUUUUGAAAUAAUUCCGAUCACUGAAAGAACAAUACUACCUGGGCAACCCGAAGAGCCAUCAAUUGAGCGGGAGGAAACUCAUGAUACUGGUUUAUACCCAGUGCCUGAGUUACCUGGGGUGUCCGGACAACUCAAUGAAAUCCAAAUGAUUCGACCAGAAACAGUUCGAUUAUUUACUUAUCCCCGAAAACUCUGGGUAAAAGGAGACUUAAUUGCAACAUUGCGGGCUGGCUGGUCGGGUGGAAAAUUACUCACAUUCGAAGAUAUCUGUCCAGUGGCACUGUCCACAAAAAGUGAUGCCGCUAAGUUGUUUCAACUACUUCUUGGUUAGGAUACCAUAAUAAUUGAGCUUACUUUGGAUUUGAAAAGCCUGUAAUCAGUUACGUGGACUAGAACAGUUUCUCAUAUUCAUUACACAUAUUUAUGUUUAAAGAUGGAACCUCUAAUAUAACUUAAAAGGUUGUCGUGUGUAUCAGAUAUUAGAGAUCUUGUCAAAAAUCUUGUGGGAAACAUUGAAUGUUCGAGAUUAAUGGUUCAAAAUUAAAAUUUCUCCAAUUGCUAUAGAUCUAUAAUGUCAUUCUCAGUGAAUUGUUACACAGUGACAAGGAUUUGCAACUGAAGCAAGCAAUGCCAGAGUCACCAAUUUAUAUAUUACAAUAUUCUCCG